UUUUCAGUUAAUAGCAUUAUUUUCUUUUUUUUUAAUGGUUGAAUUCAUUUUUUUUCAUUUAAUAGCGAUAGCUUUUUUCUUCUUUUUUUGGCUAUUUCUAUUUUUUACUUUCUGAAUUUUGCAUUAAAUUGUUACUUUUAAUUUAUUCUUCUAAAGAUUGAUUGGUAAGCAUAAUUAAAAUCAAGUUUAUUAACUAGAAUUAAAAUCUAUACACAUUCAUCUAUAAUUUGAUAUAUCAAAAAAUUGUAUUUUGAAAGAAAAAGAAAAAAAUUAAAAAAUAUGGUGAGUUGGAGUUUGAAAUUAACUUUGAUUAUGGAAGAUUUGGCUUCACUUUAGUUAGGGUGUGUAAAUAAUUUUUUUUUAAAUGCAUAUUUUUUAGUAUACGAAAUUAUACAUGAAGCUAUAUAUGAAUGCAUUUUUAAGUCUCAAAUCUAUUUUUUUGGUUGAUUUGUUGUUAUUAGGAGUAAUUUAAUAUUUUGAGUUGAAUUUUGUAUGGAUAAUACAUUUAUUUCAGUUACAGCAGGAUACGAAAUUCUUAAGCCGAAUGUUCUUAAAUAUACGAUAUUAUAAUAAUAAUAAUUUUAAUAACUGGUGAUACUAAUUAUAAUUACCAAAUAUAAGUAGAAUCAUCAAUAUUCAUGCACGAUUUUGUACACAUUAUAAAUAAAUUGGGUUAAUUGCCUAUAAAAUACUAAACUUACAUCCAAUUUUGAUUUUGCACACAAACUUUAAACUUUGGCGUGAUAAUUACUAAACUUUUGAUUUUAUCUGAAUUUGCUACAAAUCCAAAAUUCGGCCAAAUUCAAGGCUAAUAUGGCGUGCCAAUAUUUGAUGUGGCGUAUUUAUUCUUGUGUGGCAAUAAGUUGGCAAAAUAAUAUUUUUUAUUUGAUUUUUUAUUAAUAAAAAAUAACACACAUUAUCAAUAACUUAAUAUAUCAAAUCAAAUAGUAAUAUUUUUUUAGUUGAAUUAAUUAAUUGAAUAAAUUCAAUAAUGGUAAGGAAAUUCCAAGAAAGUAAAUUUAGGUCGUUAAAAUAAGAAGCAUUGUGUUGGGAACUUAAUGAAAUAUCCUAAUCCUUGUUUUGAUGAUACCAAAAUCAAUAGGUUUCUUUUGUAAUAGACUAGAACUACUCGAACUCAAGUGUUAGAGUUCUUUUUCUAGUUUAGAUUUUGUUCUGAAGACUGAAUACUGAAGAACGAAGAACUUAAGAUUGAAGACUGAAGUUGCCGACUAAAGCAUCAGUCAAAGAAUCAGUCUUGAACUGAUUACUUAAUGUGUGCCAAGUGGAAUCAGUGGACUGAUACUAAAGUCAAGUAUCAGUUAAACAUUCUUUCUCGGACUGAACCUCCAAUGUUCAAAGGAAGCCACGCACUCCAGAAGUACAGCCGCAUUAAAUGCAGAGAUCUCAGGAUCGUCCUUUCUCUGCAGAGGUCAUUCCUCUUUGGUGAUUACUAGUUGGUUGAAAGGAAUUAAUUAAUUCUUGCGUCGAUGAUCAGAGCCUUGAAUUAGUGUGGAUUUAUUCGAGUCGAGUUACCUUUCAUUAAUUAUUUUCUAGAGUUAUUUUAUUUGAUUUAUCGCAUUCUUAGUUAUAAUUAAUUUUCUCAAAAUUAAGGCGUGGUGACAUCAACAAAAUUAUAGAUUUUAGGGAAUUGAAUGAUUUACCUGGCUCUCUGUGGGAUCGACCCUACUUGUCAUUAUACUAAUUAGUUUUUGAUAAUUCUGCAGGAAUUAUUUGGUGGAAAACGACGUCCACCACGUAUGUUAGCCUAAAAUUACUGUAAUACCCUUCUUGUAAUCUCUAUAAAUAGGUCAUCCCCAUUAUAAUAUACACACGCUAUUCAUCACACAUAAAGAUAUUAUAAGACUUUUCUCUCUUGCAUACUGAAACUCAGGUGAACCAAAAGAAAUCUUCGCCAGUCCAAACAUCUAGUUUAAUUCUAUGCUCAUCAGCCAAGAAAAUGAAUUUCAAAUUUUAUUUUGAAAACCCGAGUGUUGCGAAUCUAGUUAGAAAGUGAUGACAAGUUAUGAAGGCUAAGGCUGAUUUUAGGACUACGAGCUUAAGUUGAGAACUUAUCUUGUAGGUCCUAUAGAAGAAGAUAUUUAGGUUCCCGAUCAAGCUCUAUUAAAUUGUUUGGAUUCUCUCCAAAUCAGUGUCUCUCCUGUUGAAGUUACCACAAAUCUAAACCCGGGUGGUUCGGCCGGCCCAGUUAGGACGACGGCACUCCCGCCUUCCUUCAACGCCUUCACGGCCUUAUCGCCUUGCCCCGUUGUCAUUUCCACAUACAUAAAUCACGAUUUUACUUUGAGGCAAUUCUAGGGAUGACUCAUCUUACCAACUGUGUCGAAAACAGGAUGGAAUUUCUCGGCAAAGUUUUGUUUGGUGUAGUCAAUUGCCAAAUCAACUCCCAAGUUUUCAAAAAAUCCAAGAAACUUAUUUUUUCAAUAAUUUGAAAUUGAAUCCUCUUUUAAUAUUUUA